rnacentral:misc_RNA from 1 species
GGAGGCGGCGGCCGUGGAGGCAGAGGAGGCGGCGGCGUAGCCAAACAAUAACGGCAAUAGGUGGCACAGUAACGAAAGCAUCAGCAUCAGGGAGUUGACAUCAGCUUGCCUUCUGUCAUAAUUCUGCUCCCUUCUAAGAUUUGCAAUGCCACCACAAAAGAGAGAGGUUCCAAGAACAAGAAGAAGGUUUGAAAGAACAGAACCCAAAAGAGAAUACUUCACCACGUCUAUCUUUCUUUGUGUCAGUGCAAGAAUUGCAAUUAUCAGCUCCGUUGCAUUUCCACAUGUUGCAUUCAAAAGCCCCCCAACUGUUGGGCCAGUGAAAUAAGC